rnacentral:rRNA from 1 species
CAUGUAGGCGGUUCUGCGCGUUUCGAGUGACAGCGGGUGGCUUAACUGCCCGAGUAUUCGAAAGACGGCGGGACUUGAGGACCAGAGAGGGACACGGAAUUCCGGGUGGAGUGGUGAAAUGCGUAGAGAUCCGGAGGAACACCGAGAGCGAAGGCAGUGUCCUGGCUGGUGACUGACGCUGAGGUGCGAAAGCCAGGGGAGCGAACGGGAUUAGAUACCCCGGUAGUCCUGGCCGUAAACGAUGACCACCAGGUGUGGGAGGUAUCGACCCCUUCUGUGCCGGAGUUAACACACUAAGUGGUCCGCCUGGGGAGUACGAUCGCAAGAUUAAA